rnacentral:rRNA from 1 species
UACGGGGGGGGGCAAGCGUUGUUCGGAAUUACUGGGCGUAAAGGGCUCGUAGGCGGCCAACUAAGUCGGACGUGAAAUCCCUCGGCUUAACCGGGGAACUGCGUCCGAUACUGGAUGGCUUGAGUUUGGGAGAGGGAUGCGGAAUUCCAGGUGUAGCGGUGAAAUGCGUAGAUAUCUGGAGGAACACCGGUGGCGAAGGCGGCUCACUGGUCCAUUACUGACGCUGAGGUGCGAAAGCGUGGGGAGCAAACAGG